rnacentral:rRNA from 1 species
UGAGGAAUAUUGGUCAAUGGGCGGGAGCCUGAACCAGCCAAGUCGCGUGAGGGAAGACGGUCUUACGGAUUGUAAACCUCUUUUGCCGGGGAGCAAAGGGCGCCACGCGUGGCGUUUCGAGAGUACCCGGAGAAAAAGCAUCGGCUAACUCCGUGCCAGCAGCCGCGGUAAUACGGAGGAUGCGAGCGUUAUCCGGAUUUAUUGGGUUUAAAGGGUGCGUAGGCGGGCCGGUAAGUCAGCGGUAAAAUAGCGGGGCUCAACCCCGUCGAGCCGUUGAAACUGCCGGUCUUGAGUGGGCGAGAAGUGCGCGGAAUGCGUGGUGUAGCGGUGAAAUGCAUAGAUAUCACGCAGAACCCCGAUUGCGAAGGCAGCGCACCGGCGCCCGACUGACGCUGAAGCACGAAAGCAGUGGGGUAGUCGAACAGGAUUAGAUACC